rnacentral:lncRNA from 1 species
AAGAUGGCACAACUAGUUUUGUGCCUCUCAACGUCGUCAGGAAUGCCGAAUGAUUCAUUCAACACUUGAAUGAUAUCUUCCGGCUACGUAUUCUCAACACGCCUACUAAACUCAUCACUCAUUGCUGCCAACAUGAUGCAUCGAAUAGUGAUCCGGUCACUGAGCCACUUCUGAUAAGUGUCUCUGGCCGAUCUUGAUGCA